GGUCUUGCCUGCCCCGUGAUUUAUUUUAACGGCCGCGGUAUCUUAACCGUGCAAAGGUAGCAUAAUCAAUUGUCCCCUAAAUCGGGACUAGUAUGAACGGCACCACGAGGGUUUAACUGUCUCCCCCUUUUAAUCAAUAAAAUUAAUCUUCCCGUGAAGAACCGGGAAUACAACUAUAAGACGAGAAGACCCCGUGGAGCUUUAAACUUAUUGCCACUUAUUUAUUAAUAUAGCACCCUAUCAGAUAAAAAUGUCUCAUAGUUUUUGGUUGGGGCGACCCUGGAGAAAAGCAAAUCCUCCAGAUCGAAAGGUUUAACUACCCUUAUAUAAGAACCACAAUUCAAAUAAACAAAAAUUUGACAAAACUGACCCAGAAUUAACUGAUCAGUGAACCAAGUUACCCCGGGGAUAACAGCGCAAUCCAUUUCAAGAGCCCAUAUCGACAAAUGGGUUUACGACCUCGAUGUUGGAUCAGGGGAUCCUAGCAGCGCAGCCGUUGCUAAUGGUUCGUUUGUUCAACGAUUAAUGCCCU
rnacentral:rRNA from 1 species